rnacentral:antisense_RNA from 1 species
UGUUAUGGGCGGGCCGUAUGUGGGCAUCUUCGGAUGCGCCGGGUCCAACUAGCCGGUACGCCAACCCAUACGACCCCGCCCACCCUG